GAUGAACGCUGGCGGCGUGCCUAAUACAUGCAAGUCGAGCGAACAGAUGAGGAGCUUGCUCCUCUGACGUUAGCGGCGGACGGGUGAGUAACACGUGGAUAACCUACCUAUAAGACUGGGAUAACUUCGGGAAACCGGAGCUAAUACCGGAUAAUAUAUUGAACCGCAUGGUUCAAUAGUGAAAGACGGUUUUGCUGUCACUUAUAGAUGGAUCCGCGCCGCAUUAGCUAGUUGGUAAGGUAACGGCUUACCAAGGCAACGAUGCGUAGCCGACCUGAGAGGGUGAUCGGCCCCACUGGAACUGAGACACGGUCCAGACUCCUACGGGAGGCAGCAGUAGGGAAUCUUCCGCAAUGGGCGACAGCCUGACGGAGCAACGCCGCGUGAGUGAUGAAGGUCUUCGGAUCGUAAAACUCUGUUAUUAGGGAAGAACAAAUGUGUAAGUAACUAUGCACGUCUUGACGGUACCUAAUCAGAAAGCCACGGCUAACUACGUG
rnacentral:rRNA from 1 species